GCAUCUUCAGCGCCUAUCGUGAUGGCGUAUCUGGCACCAGAGGAGUUAGUCUCUUCUAUGAGCGUACCAUAGAGACCCUCUGAGCCCCUCCCCUCCCUCUCUCCCAUGCUUUCUUGAGCCCUCGCAGCCAGGCGCCUGUCCCACCACUCCACCUUGAGGAGGCCCUUUACCCGGGAAAGGAAAGGAGCCAUCAGCCACCAUCAUGAUUUGGAAGGAGAAGGGAAAGAAAGAGUGGAACCACCCUGCCUAAGAAGGCAGGGCGUAUUUAAGCAUAUUGUGUUGAGUGGAACAGUAAGAAGCCCCAAACUGGGGGAGAAGAGGCCUAGGAGAGAAGAAUCCCGAGAAGGGGACAGAAGCCGAAAUGAAUGGCAGGAAGCAAGACUGGCCAAUGGGCAACUUACCUGGAGUCAGGAAGCAAUUUUUAAGACAGUCAUCUUGAUAGAGCAACAUCGCACUGUCAUCUUCAUUGUCCUGUAAUGCCACGCCAUGACCCCAAGCAUGCAAACAAGCAUCGAUCGGCAGCCCAAUGUAAGUGGAACUUAUGGGAAUGGACAGACGCAGGACCAGAGCAGGGUGAGAGAGCUCGGAAAGACGGGAACAAGGCGAAGCCAGCUGCAUUCUGUGACCCUGUGAAAAAGUACUUUUGUUAAUGAGCAAAAAGACAUGUCAAUGAGAAACAUUUUUCUCUAAAUAUAAACUUCCAGCAACUUUUCUGUUGAAAUCAUUUCAGUAAGAACAGAAUAGCCCACUCCUACCUUGGGGAGCCGAGCCGUCUUGGACACAGAGAAGGAGCCCGGAUUUGCAACCCAGCUGCAGAGCUUCAGAUAAGGGGUUUUUGGAUGCUACAUUCUCCUGACCCUAUAGCUUCCAAGGAAACAGGACUCAGUCUGCCCCUCGGCCCAGGCUGGUGUUAAUUCCUUUAUACACAGCGCUAUUUGCUUUGAGGGCAUUAAAACACAGCUUCAUUUGAAUUUUAGCUGAAUCCCACCAUUUUCCCAAGUCCUGUAACAAGCUGGUGGCUUCCUGCGUCCGAUGAAGCACUCCCUGGUCCCCGGAGCACUGUCCCAUGCUGUAACAAGCUUGCUACCUUCCUCUGAAAAAACCGUGAUGCAGAAGAGCAUGGUGACCAUGAAAGUGAGGUGUUGAAAACUGAGGAGCCACAAGAUGGAAGGGGCCAGGGUCCCUGAAUGACUGCAUGGAAAAGAGUCACCUGCUGAUCAGGGUGUAUUUGCAUUCCUCGUGUCUAACAUGAAUUGAAUGAGCAAGUGAAUUUGUCAAGAGAAGGAUAUGAGACUGAUCCUAUCUCAAGUCAGAGGCAGAGCACAGAAAGCAGCAUUUGCAAAGUUUGGCCUAUUUCUCAUCUAGACAAGUGUCAUGAGUCACCACACCCGAGGAUGGAAUAUGGUCUGGAAAGAUCCCUGGCCGAGGAAGCAGGAGCCGUGGACUCAGAGCCCACUCAGUCCCCAGUUCACUGCACACUCUGGCACGUCACCUUAUCUCUCCCAGACUCAAAUCUUUUAUUUAUCAAACAUAGGAUUUGUGCUAAAUAAUAUUGAAAGACCGUUUUAAUUUUAAAAUGACAUUAUUUAAACCUAGGAACCUGAAGAAGAAAUAGAAAACAAUGCUCUGUCUGUGCUAAUUCAGAAGCCACUAACCACAUGUGGUGAUGGAGUGCUUGAAAUCUGGCUGGUCCAGGUUGAAAUGUGCUGUGAGUAUGAAAUGCACACUGGAUUUUAAAGAUUUAUUACCAAACA
rnacentral:lncRNA from 1 species